rnacentral:tRNA from 1 species
GCGUCCGUAGCUCAGCUGGAUAGAGCAUCGGUUUCCGGUACCGAAGGUCGGAGGUUCGAAUCCUCUCGGGCGCACCA